rnacentral:rRNA from 1 species
CGGACGGGUGAGGAAUACAUCGGAAUCUACUCUGUCGUGGGGGAUAACGUAGGGAAACUUACGCUAAUACCGCAUACGACCUACGGGUGAAAGCAGGGGAUCUUCGGACCUUGCGCGAUUGAAUGAGCCGAUGUCGGAUUAGCUAGUUGGCGGGGUAAUGGCUCACCAAGGCGACGAUCCGUAACUGGUCUGAGAGGAUGAUCAGUCACACUGGAACUGAGACACGGUCCAGACUCCUACGGGAGGCAGCAGAA